rnacentral:rRNA from 1 species
GACGAACGCUGGCGGCGUGCCUAAUACAUGCGAGUUGAGCGAUGAAGAUUGGUGCUUGCACCAAUUUGAAGAGCAGCGAACGGGUGAGUAACGCGUGGGGAAUCUGCCUUUGAGCGGGGGACAACAUUUGGAAACGAAUGCUAAUACCGCAUAACAACUUUAAACAUAAGUUUUAAGUUUGAAAGAUGCAAUUGCAUCACUCAAAGAUGAUCCCGCGUUGUAUUAGCUAGUUGGUGAGGUAAAGGCUCACCAAGGCGAUGAUACAUAGCCGACCUGAGAGGGUGAUCGGCCACAUUGGGACUGAGACACGGCCCAAACUCCUACGGGAGGCAGCAGUAGGGAAUCUUCGGCAAUGGACGAAAGUCUGACCGAGCAACGCCGCGUGAGGGAAGAAGGGUUUCGGAUCGUAAAACUCUGUUGGUAGAGAAGAACGUUGGUGAGAGUGGAAAGCUCAUCAAGUGACGGUAACUACCCAGAAAGGGACGGCUAACUACGUG